GCGCCCGUAGCUCAGCUGGAUAGAGCGACGGCCUCCGAAGCCGUAGGCCAGUGGUUCGAAUCCACUCGGGCGUACCA
rnacentral:tRNA from 1 species